AACAGGGAUUGCCUCAGUAACGGCGAGUGAAGCGGCAACAGCUCAAAUUUGAAAUCUGGCCCUUUCAGGGUCCGAGUUGUAAUUUGUAGAGGAUGUUUCGGCGAGUGCUCCCGUCUAAGUUCCUUGGAACAGGACGUCAUAGAGGGUGAGAAUCCCGUAUGUGAUGGGUUGCGCGAGCCAUGUGAAACUCCUUCGACGAGUCGAGUUGUUUGGGAAUGCAGCUCUAAAUGGGAGGUAAAUUUCUUCUAAAGCUAAAUACCGGCCAGAGACCGAUAGCGCACAAGUAGAGUGAUCGAAAGAUGAAAAGCACUUUGGAAAGAGAGUUAAAAAGUACGUGAAAUUGUUGAAAGGGAAGCGCUUGCGACCAGACUUGCCCGCGGUGGGUCAGAACGCCAUCAGGCGAUCGUACACCUCCGCGGUCAGGCCAGCAUCAGUUCGGGCGGUCGGAUAAAGGCGUCGGGAAUGUAGCUCCUCUCGGGGAGUGUUAUAGCCCGGCGCGACAUGCGGCCAGCCUGGACUGAGGAUCUCGCUUCGGCUAGGAUGCUGGCGUAAUGGUCGUAAGCGGCCCGUCUUGAAACACGGACCAAGGAGUCUAACAUCUAUGCGAGUGUUUGGGUGUCAAACCCAUGCGCGUAAUGAAAGUGAACGGAGGUGGGAACGCGUUCUCGCGUGCACCAUCGACCGAUCCUGAUGUCUUCGGAUGGAUUUGAGUAUGAGCAUAGCUGUUGGGACCCGAAAGAUGGUGAACUAUGCCUGAAUAGGGUGAAGUCAGAGGAAACUCUGAUGGAGGCUCGCAGCGGUUCUGACGUGCAAAUCGAUCGUCAAAUUUGGGUAUAGGGGCGAAAGACUAAUCGAACCAU
rnacentral:rRNA from 1 species